rnacentral:tRNA from 1 species
UGGCGUGUAACUCAGUAGGUUAGAGUGGCGGACUGUUAAUCCGUAUGUCGUGGGUUCGAAUCCCACCUCGCCAG